rfam:Photobacterium gaetbulicola Gung47 chromosome 2, complete sequence.
UUGGCAAAGAAUGUGAUAGGGUGAAGAACCCUAGACAGGGUUCAGCCGAGCGAAGCGAGACAACGUUGCUAGCCGAAGGCGUAGUAAAGCAACGGCCCGUAGGGCGAAGUAAAUCCCUAUCUCUCCGCCA